rnacentral:rRNA from 1 species
GACGAACGCUGGCGGCGUGCUUAACACAUGCAAGUCGAACGAAGUGGCGAACGGGUGAGUAACGCGUAAUCAACCUGCCCUUCAGAGGGGGACAACAGUUGGAAACGACUGCUAAUACCGCAUACUGAAGGAGGGGAUUGCGUCUGAUUAGCUAGUUGGAGGGGUAACGGCCCACCAAGGCGAUGAUCAGUAGCGGGUCUGAGAGUAUGAACGGCACACUUGGGAAUGAUACACUGCCCAGACUCCUACGGGAGGCAGCAGUGGGGAAUCUUCCGCAAUGGACGAAAGUCUGACGGAGCAACGCCGCGUGAGUGAUGACGGCCAUUGGGUUGUAAAGCUCUGUUAAUCGGGACGCGGUACCGGAAUAGAAAGCCACGGCUAACUACGUGCCAGCAGCCGCGGUAAUUC